rnacentral:rRNA from 1 species
UACGUAGGUGGCAAGCGUUGUCCGGAUUUAUUGGGCGUAAAGCGAGCGCAGGCGGUUCCUUAAGUCUGAUGUGAAAGCCCACGGCUCAACCGUGGAAGGUCAUUGGAAACUGGGGAACUUGAGUGCAGAAGAGGAGAGUGGAAUUCCAUGUGUAGCGGUGAAAUGCGUAGAUAUAUGGAGGAACACCAGUGGCGAAGGCGACUCUCUGGACUGUAACUGACACUGAGGCGCGAAAGCGUGGGGAGCAAACAGGAUUAGA